GCCUCGGUAGUGUAAUGGAUAAGCACGGCAGACCAGAUAUCUGUAAGUGCGGGUUCGAGUUCCGUCCGAGGUU
rfam:Dictyocaulus viviparus strain HannoverDv2000 D_viviparus-1.0_Cont17298.1, whole genome shotgun sequence.